rnacentral:rRNA from 1 species
UAACCGUAAACGAUACUCGCUAGGUGUCGGCCACGGUGCGACCGUUGUCGGUGCCGUAGGGAAGCCGUGAAGCGAGCCACCUGGGAAGUACGGCCGCAAGGCUGAAACUUAAAGGAAUUGGCGGGGGAGCACCACAACGGGUGGAGCUUGCGGUUUAAUUGGAUUCAACGCCGGAAAUCUUACCGGGACCGACAGCAACAUGAAGGCCAGGCUGAAGACUUUGCCGGAUUAGCUGAGAGGAGGUGCAUGGCGUAGUCGUGU